rnacentral:lncRNA from 1 species
UUUUAAUCUCUGCUGAUAAAUCAGAGUGUUUGGAUGAUUAGCACUGACCGCCUUCUGAUUGGUUUUCUGGCUUGCUGCUGCUCAGGACUUUUUGCUUAUGAGAUAACUAGAUAUAUGCCUGGCUAGUGAAAAAGGUCUAUAUGACAUAUGUCUGGCUAUUUGACUGUCAGUCAAAUAAGAUUAUGUUGAAAUUGUUGUAUUGAGGAUCAGAUCUUGUGCCCUACAUGCUUUUUUUCAUCCAUGAGUCACUCUUUGGAUCCCUUUUCUUAUUUAAGAAGAAAAAAAUCCCCCAAUUACAAGAUGGCAUGAGCUGUGCUGAGCCCAUACAACAUCCUAAGCAGGAAGCCCUUGCCCAGCACCAAUUAAGGACUAACUGUACCAAGGGAUUCAGUUUCAGCAGGCCUCUCUCUCUGCUGCCCAGCAAAGGGGAAAUCCUUUCCUUCGGCAGUUCAUAGGAUAUCCUGAGCUGGAAGGGACCCAAAAGGACCAUCCAAGUCCAAGCAACCUGGGUGCAAAGUCA